rnacentral:lncRNA from 1 species
UUUCGGCGGACAUCCUUCCUUAAUGGCGUCGAUUCGCCUUUGGGGCGCGAGCGACCCUUCGGCAGCCAGGCGUCCUCUGGCGUCACCGAGGCGUCACCCACCUUUCCGCCUAUUUAACCGGGGGCCCUCCUCCGUCCGCCUUUCUCUUUACAGACAUCUUCGAGUUUCUCUUUUGCGCUGCCGUCGUUGCCGUCGGACUGUUCGCUCGCUCCUCCUUUGACGCUCUCGGAGCCGUUCUUCCUUCUCUUCCGGUGAGUUGCCCCAUUC